UACGUAGGGUGCAAGCGUUGUCCGGAAUUAUUGGGCGUAAGGAGCUUGUAGGCGGUUUGUCGCGUCUGCUGUGAAAUUUCGGGGCUCAACCCCGAACUUGCAGUGGGUACGGGCAGACUAGAGUGUGGUAGGGGAGACUGGAAUUCCUGGUGUAGCGGUGAAAUGCGCAGAUAUCAGGAGGAACACCGGUGGCGAAGGCGGGUCUCUGGGCCGAUACUGACGUGAGGAGCGAAAGCGUGGGGAGCGAACAGG
rnacentral:rRNA from 1 species